GUUACUGAUGUGAGGUAGAGCGACUGAUUGGAUGCGAGGGCUUCACCGCCUAUCAAGUCCUGACAAACUCCGAAUGCCAGUAGUAUGAUUUACAGCAGUGAGUGACUGGGUGCUAAUGUCCAGUCGCAAAAGAGGAACAACUCAGACCAGCAACUAAGGUCCCGAAGAAUAUGCUAAGUUGAUCUAACGAUGUUUUGUUGCAGAGACAGCUAGGAUGUUAGCUUGGAAGCAGCUAUUCAUUCAAAGAGUGCGUAACAGCUCACUAGUCGAGCGACAGAGCGUGGAUAAUAAACGGGCAUCAAGCAUAUCACCGAAGUUCUGGGCGCGAGAGCGCGGUAGGGGAGCAUUCCAUUCAGCGUCGAAGCAGUUUCGUGAGGAAUUGUGGAGCGUAUGGAAAAGCAAAUGUAGGCAUGAGUAACGAUAAUGCGGGAGAGUAACCCGCACACCGCAAGACCAAGGUUUCCUGAUCAACGCUAAUCGGAUCAGGGUUAGUCGGGUCCUAAGGGUAAGCCGAACGGCGAUCUCGAUGGAUAAUCGGUUAAUAUUCCGAUACUAACAUAUACCUCGAUGGAGAGACGAAGGAACGUAAGUGCCGCCACCUGACGGAAUAGGUGGUUAAAGGGCGUAGGUAUAGGGGCAGAUUAAGAGUUAGUCCUUGCUGAAACCUGACAGUACAGAGAGCCUACGGGCAAUUUGAUAGAGCACCCAAGUCGACUUCCGAGAAAAUCUUCUAAGUUAUAGUAUAUGUUACCCGUACCGUAAACCGACACAGGUGGUCGAGGAGAGUAUCCUAAGGUGCUCGAGUGAAUCACGGUUAAGGAACUAGGCAAAUUAACCCCGUAACUUCGGGAAAAGGGGUCCCUAUGAAAGUAGGGCGCAGCGAAGAGGUCCAGGCGACUGUUUAUCAAAAACACAGGGCUCUGCAAAUUCGAAAGAAGACGUAUAGGGCCUGACACCUGCCCGGUGCUGGAAGGUUAAGAGGGGAUGUCAUCGCAAGAGAAGCAUUGAAUCGAAGCCCCAGUAAACGGCGGCCGUAACUAUAACGGUCCUAAGGUAGCGAAAUUCCUUGUCGGGUAAGUUCCGACCUGCACGAAUGGUGUAACGAUCUGGACACUGUCUCAACCGUGAGCUCGGUGAAAUUGUAGUCCCGGUGAUGAUGCCGGGUACCCGCAACGGGACGAAAAGACCCCGUGAACCUUUACUAUAGCUUAACGCUGAAUUUGGGUACACAAUGUGUAGGAUAGGCCGGAGGCUUUGAAGCGGGCACGCCAGUGUUCGUGGAGCCGACGUUGAAAUACGGCCCUUUGUGUAUUUGAGUUCUAACCCUGCGAAGGGGACACCGUUUGGUGGGUAGUUUGACUGGGGUGGUCGCCUCCAAAAGCGUAACGGAGGCUUCCCAAGGUACCCUCAGCACGAAUGGUAACCGUGCGCGGAGUGCAAUAGCAUAAGGGUGCUUGACUGUGAGACAUACAAGUCGACCAGGUACGAAAGUAGGGUAUAGUGAUCCGGUGGUUCUGCGUGGACUGGCCAUCGCUCAAAGGAUAAAAGGUACUCCGGGGAUAACAGGCUGAUCGCCGCCAAGAGCUCAUAUCGACGCGGCGGUUUGGCACCUCGAUGUCGGCUCGUCACAUCCUGGGGCUGGAGAAGGUCCCAAGGGUUCGGCUGUUCGCCGAUUAAAGUGGCACGCGAGCUGGGUUCAGAACGUCGUGAGACAGUUCGGUCUCUAUCUGUUGCGGGCGUAGGAAGAUUGAGGGGUCCUGACUUUAGUACGAGAGGACCGAGUUGGACGAACCUCCGGUGUAUCGGUUAUGCUGCCAAGUGUACUGCCGAGUAGCCGCGUUCGGUCUGGAUAAGCGCUGAAAGCAUCUAAGCGCGAAGCCAUCCCCAAGAUAAGUCUUCCCUUGAGGGGCGUAGGAGACUACUACGUUGAUAGGCUGCAGGUGUAAAGACAGCAAUGUCAAAGCCGAGCAGUACUAAUUACCCGAUAGGCUUUCUUUUU
rnacentral:rRNA from 1 species